GUGCUCACAUGGACAGCACAUAUACUAAAACUGGAACCAUACAUUGGAGAUUGGCAUGGCCUCUGCACAAGGAUGGCACGCACAUUCGUGAAGCUUUCCCUAUUUUU
rnacentral:snRNA from 1 species